UUAAAACCAUUCAUUUGAAAUUAAAUUAUUAAUUUUUGUAAUUUUUUUUAUUGCUUUUAAAUUUAAGUAUGAAUAAAAUUCAUGCUAACUCUGGUAUUGAUCCACUAUCUGUUAAAGUAUGUUGUACCAGUGUAGAAUCUUAUAUAAGAUGUGUUGAAUAUGGAAAAGGAAAGGCUAACCAUAAAACCUUACUUUUGUUGCUGAGAUCAAUAUUAGCUGGUAUAUUUGUUGGGUUAUGUGCUCACGCUGCGACAAUAGCAGGUUGGUUUACUUUUUUACGGUUUCUUAUUCGUGCUGUGUUUGACCAUUCAUUUGUGUUUGCCCAUUCGUUUGUUUUUGACCAUUCAUUUGUGUUCAUUUAUUUUUAUGUUUAUAUAUAUUAGUUUACAUAGGUACAAGCACAAAUGUAUGUGACUAAUAUGCUUAUACUUUUUCGCAUGAUCAUGCAUAUGUGUGUUUUUAUUUUUUAUUUUUAUUUUAUUUUUAUUUCAUUUUUAUUUCAUUUUUAUUUCAUUUUUAUUUCAUUUUUAUUUCAUUUUUAUUUCAUUUUUAUUUCAUUUUUAUUUCAUUUUUAUUUCAUUUUUAUUUCAUUUUUAUUUCAUUUUUAUUUCAUUUUUAUUUUUUUGUUUUUUUUUACAGGGGGAUUGUUUUAUUUCCAUAAACUAAGAGAAUAUGUAGGAAUGUCCAUGAGUUUAUUUGUAUAUGGUUUUACUUUUCCAAUAGCUUUUUUAUCAAUUGUAUGUACGGGUGCAGAUUUAUUUACUGGCAAUACAUUAGCAGUGACUACUGCCUUGUUGCAAAGAAAAAUAAAUAUCUUACAAUAUGCACGCGUUAUGACGACAUCAUUCCUAGGAAAUUAUGUAGGAGCUACUGUUUUUGCUUUUUUGAUUUCAUAUGGAUCAGGCGCUUUUGCACAAAAUGCAGAUAUAGAUAAAAAUCAUCUUUUUCAAUUUCUAAACGAUGUAGCUGUAAAAAAAGUUCACCAUUCUUUUCAUUCGUGUAUAGCUUUAGCUAUUGGUUGUAAUCUGUUUGUCUGUUUAGCUCUUUACUUUAUUAUAUCUAUUAAAGAUGGUUCAGGGGUGAUUUUUGGUGCAUUUUUUGCUGUAUAUGCAUUUGCAAUAGCAGGAUAUGAGCACAUUAUUGCAAAUAUAUAUACCUUAAAUAUUGCAUUAAUGGCUAAAACCAAUGUCACAUUUUAUGAGGUUUAUUUCAAAAACCUGUUACCUACCUUAAUUGGAAAUUGUAUUGCGGGUAUUGUUUUCUUAGCCAUACCAUUACAUACUUUGUACAGAACUAAAUACAAUCAGUAUGAAGAAAUAGAAAAAGAAAAGAAUGAUAGCGUUAUGAAAUCGUAAUAAAUGAAUAGAAGAAAAAAAAAAAAAAAAAUAGCAAACGAAUGAACCUAUG
rnacentral:lncRNA from 1 species